AGAACGAACGCUGGCGGCAUGCCUAAUACAUGCAAGUCGAACGAACUCUUCGGAGUUAGUGGCGCACGGGUGCGUAACGCGUGGGAAUCUGCCCCUUGGUUCGGAAUAACAGUUGGAAACGACUGCUAAUACCGGAUGAUGACGAAAGUCCAAAGAUUUAUCGCCAAGGGAUGAGCCCGCGUAGGAUUAGCUAGUUGGUGAGGUAAAGGCUCACCAAGGCAACGAUCCUUAGCUGUCUGAGAGGAUGAUCAGCCACACUGGGACUGAGACACGGACCCAGACUCCGUACGGGAGGCAGCAGGUAGGGAAUAGUUGGACAAGUGGGCGAAAGCCUGAUCCAGUCAAGUGACCGUCGUGAGUGAGUAGGAACGGUCCGUUAAGGGUUAGUAAA
rnacentral:rRNA from 1 species